rnacentral:rRNA from 1 species
UACGUAGGGACCGAGCGUUGUCCGGAUUCAUUGGGCGUAAAGAGCUCGUAGGCGGCCACUCAAGUCGAAUGUGAAACCUCGAGGCUUAACCUCGAGCCUGCAUUCGAUACUGGGCGGCUAGAGUCUGGUAGGGGGAGUCUGGAAUUCCUGGUGUAGCGGUGGAAUGCGCAGAUAUCAGGAGGAACACCGGUGGCGAAGGCGGGUCUCUGGGCCGAUACUGACGCUGAGGAGCGAAAGCGUGGGGAGCGAACAGG